rnacentral:SRP_RNA from 1 species
GCUAGGCAUGGUGGCAUAUGCCUGUAGUCCCAGCUACUCGGGAGGCUGAGGUGGAAGGAUUGCUUGAGCCCAGGAAGUCAAGGCCGCAGGGUGCAGCGAGCAGUAAUUGGGCCACUGCAGUCUAGCCUGGGCAACAGAGCAAGACCCUGCCUCAA